rnacentral:rRNA from 1 species
AGAACGAACGCUGGCGGCAUGCCUAAUACAUGCAAGUCGAACGAACACUUCGGUGUUAGUGGCGCACGGGUGCGUAACGCGUGGGAAUCCGCCCUUGGGUUCGGAAUAACAGUUGGAAACGACUGCUAAUACCGGAUGAUAUCGAAAGAUCAAAGAUUUAUCGCCCAGGGAUGAGCCCGCGUAGGAUUAGCUAGUUGGUGAGGUAAAGGCUCACCAAGGCGACGAUCCUUAGCUGGUCUGAGAGGAUGAUCAGCCACACGUGGGACUGAGACACGGCCCAGGCUCCGACGGGAGCAGCAGGUAGGAAUAUGGACAAGUGGGCACAAGCCUGAUCCAGCAGGUCGCCGACGUGAGUGAGUAGAACGGUCCGUUAGGGUUGUAAACGUCCUUACGUUUUACCCGAAGUA